UACAGAGGCCCCAAGCGUUACUGAGAAUCACUGGGUUUAAAGGGUGCGUAGGUGGCGCGUUAAGUCCGUUGUGAAAUCCCUUGGCUCAACCAAGGAACUGCUUCGGAUACUGGCGUGCUUGAGGCUAGUAGAGGUCACUGGAACUGACGGUGGAGCGGUGAAAUGCGUAGAUAUCGGGAAGAACACCCGUGGCGAAGGCGGCACUCUGGGACGGUACUGACGCUGAGACGCGAAAGCGUGGGGAGCGAACAGG
rnacentral:rRNA from 1 species